UUUUAAGUCUGGUCAAAUGAUAACAGCAUGAAACUAGUUUCUCAGACGGCAGAAGCAGAGUUCAGUAAACCAGGUUAUUGUUUCAUUUCUGUGACUCACACACUCUCUCAUGUCCCCAAUUCAUUUUGUCCACAUAAACCAGGGAGGAGGCAUUUUAUCUUUGAAAGAUAUUUUUCACUUGUUUUUUUCCCCUCUGUACUUCAUUUUUCAUUGCCUUGAUCAACAAAGUCUUCCCCAGUACGUUUCUGUGCAGCAAAAUACACGUAUUUAUGUUAACACACUGACACGUGUCAUUUCCUUCACACAGUACCCUAUUUACACUUGGGUAAUGAAUUGAAGUGGCUGAAAUGGCUUAAUUUUUACUACAUUUUCCUAGGUGCAUUUACUUUUAUAACAUUCAAAAUAGAAUGAUAUAAAAGUUUAACUUAAAAGUAUCAAUAACUACUGAACUCUGGGAAUGAGUGUGUAUGUGGGUGUGUGGUGUGUAUGUAUUUAUUAAAUUGGUCUCUAAAAGAGGACAACAUUAUUUUCUAGCCUGUCAUCUCAAGUACCACUUAAUGGUAAUACAAUAUGGUUGAAUGAAUGAACAUCUAUUUGUACUUUCUGCCCUUUGUAUUGUGACUGGAUCCAAUAUAUAUCUCUCUAAAAUAGUCCUUUCAACUUCUCCCUGCUUUAAAAUAGGGGUGGUGGAGUUCCCCUUGUGGAGCAGCAGCAACAAACCCGACUAGGAACCAUGAGGUUUUGGGUUUGAUCCCUGGCCUUGCUCAGUGGGUUAAGGAUCUGCCAUUGCCAUUAGCCAAAGUGUAGGUUGCAGAUGCAGCUCAGAUCAUGCAUUUUGGUGGCUGUGGUGUAGGCUGGCAGCUGUAGUUCUAAUUCAAUCCCUAGCCUGGGAACCUCCGUAUGCUUGCUGCAGGUGCAGCCCUAAAAAGCAAAAUAAAAUAAAUUAAAAUAAAAUAGGGAUUGGGAUUUCUGUGGAUCCCAUAAGCUCUAGGAUAGGUUUCAGAUGAGGCUCAAAUUUGACCCCUAACCCAGGAACUUCCUUAUGUCCCAGGUGCAGCUAAAAAACAAAGGGGGUUGGGAGAGUAUGGGUUGUUUGGAACACUGUACAUUAAUUAUAAAGUCAGGGAAGAAGAAGACAUUUCUAUGAGUGUUGUCUGGUCAUCGUCCUUGUGGGAGCUGUAGUGGGGUAGGUGGCAAAUGACACUUGUCUUCUCUUUGUGAGGACAGAAUGUGGGAAGGAGUCAGGCAGGUGGAGAUCAGCUAAGGAGCUUCAUCGCCUACACGUACAGAUGAAUUGGAGGAUGCAGUUUCGAUGCGCAGCCACAGUGGCCAUCCGAAUACUUCAUCCCCACUUGGGCCCUUCCCCUUGGAGGCCUAAGCGGAGGAAGCAAACCUUGACACCUGUCCUGGGGGCAGGCUGCUUACUGCAGAUGUGAGACCCAAGUUCACAGUGCUCUGGGCAGACACAUGUUUUCAAAGAAGAGAUUCGGAUCCACACAAGGAUUCCUUAGUUCCUUCUUGCAGCUUCAGACUUUGGGUAAAUCUCCUCUCCUCUCCCAAAGAGGGUUGAGGGGGUGUGAGUCCUCAUGUGGAAACCAGAGGCCAAGGAAAAGAAGUCCACCUGUAAUUUCUGACUGACUUCAAUUACAGUUGGGCUUAAGCUUCUAUCUUGUAUACACAGCAGGUAGAGAUGAGCGAUUGAAGCGAAGGAUGCUAGGUGGCCAAGAGACAUCUGUUUUGUGCUCUCAAUCUUGCCAUAAAUAAGCCCCAAGGUGGAUAAUUCCUUUGCUAACUCACUCUGGGGAGACAAAUUUGACUUGGAGGAAACAAGUAUUCUUUUAAGGAAGAAUCUCAGUUUUGGUGAGCUUGACUCAGCUAAAGCUUUUCUCCUUCUAGUCCUCUAUCCUGUGCUUCAAAAAAGCUCGGUGAUUCGUAAAUUGAGCAUGUUCACUGCAUAUAAUAGGGGUUAUGGUUAAUAACUUAUUCUUGUUCGGGCCUUCAAAACAUAGAAUUUAGUCAGAAAGGUACCAUUUCAUGUCUCGUGCCUCAAAUAUUAUUGAGCUACAUGACAGUCUUCCAUAUUUAUUUUCUCUAAAUUAUUGUUUAAAAUCUGUGUGUUUUGCCCUAAUCUGAUGAAGUUGCUGGCAUACAACUCCAGACAGAGCAAGAAGGCCUUUGGCUUUGUGAGCCCAGGCAAGCUGCAUUCUCGCUGGGCCUUUGUUACUUUUUGUCAAAUUACGGGCUGAGUAAAUUGGUGACUUUUUUAUGUUCAACUUUGUUUUUUCAAAGAAAAAAAUCUUCCUUUUUAAAAAAGAAUAUACUUUUUUGCAUGAAACUGUAUUAUACAGAACAAAGACAAGCAUGGAGCUGUUUAGCCAAAGGAGGGAAGGAGCCUCUGAAGAUGAGACUUCUUUGCCCCUCAAUGCUGCAGUGCCCCCAUGCCUUUUCUGUGGGACACUGUUUGGAAACUACAGGUUAGGAAGGAAUCCUUCUAGUUAAAAAUCUUUAGAAUUAUAACUUGCAGAUACAGUCUCUUCCUAUCUAAUGUUCUCAGCUUUCUUUGUUUUUGUUAAAUGGAAACAUUUAAAGAACAUUGUGGGUGUGUUCUCUUUGCUAACAUUGGAUUUCAAACAUCUUCCUUCACCUGAACACCAUCCUGCCCUAGAUAUCAACCUCAAGGUCUCCAAAGUACAUAUUUAGGAAGAGCUCUGGGUGGAAAAGAUCAUAGUCUUACAUUGGUCUGUCCCUAAUUCAACUCCUGUAUAAAUGUGAUCUACAUUUUUGCAUAAUGUCUAUUAAUGUAAUAUAAAAUUAUUUCUAUAAAGUGUUCUCCCUUUAUCUGUUAGAAGCUAUGGCUUUCACAAGAUCUAUCUAGGUAAGUUGUCACAUUAUUCAUUUUAUUCGGCCUCUCUGUAAUGCUGUUGUAAGAAAAAUGUUAUGGAAAACAUUCUAAAAAUAUUGGAACCUAUGUUAGCUAAACCAAGGGUGUUGCCUGUCAUGUUGUCACUAUCAGCACAGUGUUAGGUUCAGGAUACUAUUUUAGACACUGUUUAGUGAGAGAGUGCCUUUCAUAAGAAAAACCUUAAAAAGGACACUCCAGGUAGAGACACUUGUAAUAUAGUUUGAAAUAUUCCCACACAUUACAAAAUGAAGUAGAGAGCUAUCAUUUGAUGUUGCCGAAAACUGGCCCUAAUUUCUAGAAUGAAACAAAAUUACAGGUAAAGAAUCAAAGAAUCCUGUAUUGUUUUCCUUGUUUCUAAUUCUAGAAAGCCAUGAGUCCGAAACCCAGUUUGAAAACUGGUUUUAGCUCCUCUUCUUCCUUUCUUCAAGCAGAUUUUUAUUUUCAUUUUUAUUUAUUUUUUUGCCAGUAGAGUUUUCACAUGCCAUUACAACAGAACCACUUUCUUCAUUUUAUGGAUUUAAGAUUCUGUGUUGACAAGUUCUUAAUUGACAUAGGACAUGCCUUAAAAUCUUAGUUCCAUAAAAGUAAAGAAAUGAGAGCUCAUUUUAAGGAAAACUCCUUUGGUUAAACUUUUAUAAAGGCCAGUUUUCCUAAGAAUUGCAAAGUAAAGCAUUUGUUGAAACGCCCUGAUACCAGAAAGAUCAAACAGCAUCCUCUGAAAUUAUGUAUAUUCGGUUGACCAAUAUAUAUAUUACUUUUUAUCAGAUUAAUCUUAAUAGCAUUACGUAUGUAUGUUCUCUACUAUCUACAAUCCAAAUAAGUGGGAAUUUAUUUUAUUUUAUUCAUGUGACUAAUUUUCUAUUUGAGCAAUCUCUAAGUUAGAUCAAUGCUCUAAAAGCAUUAUUUAUAGGCCACAUUUCAUAAGCUAUAUGUCAUUUAUAUGAUAAUGUCUGUUAACCUAAACAUUUUAAAUACUAUUUGACUUAUUUCAGACUUACCAGGAGUUGGAAAAAAAUUUAUCUAGAGGACUAGCGGAAGGUAUGUUUUCAACAUUUAUGAAUUAAAUUUAGAUAAGGAUUUCUGAAAUCAACUGUAAACAGUAAAUGGCACCUCAGUUGUUUGCAGAACAGAUACUGCAUUAAAUAUUUUCUUAUUACCUCACGAAAAACGUGAACGUAAAUAUUCAUCAUGAAAAAUAUUCUUAUUACUCCUUUAUUCACUAUGUUCCAUAGCUUCCAAAAAAGUCUAGAUAUUUCUUUUCCUUCCUGGCUAUAUCCUUCUUCUACUUCUGCCGUCCCCAUCGACCUGUCGCCUGCACUCUGACACUGUCCUCAGAAAGCAUGGGGUUCACCAACUUCUCAAGUUUCUGGUAGUGAUUAAGGCAAAAAAAAAAA
rnacentral:lncRNA from 1 species